rnacentral:sRNA from 1 species
UGAUACAAGUGUCAAAAGUAUAAAAAUUCAAUGCAAGCUUGCUUGCAAUAGAAUUUAUUAUCUUUUGACACACAAAAAAUAUGAGUAAGUAGCCAUUUUUUGUGAAAAAAUGAGCGAAUUACGAAUAUUUUCUGUAGGGAUUGCGAGAAGCGAAGCUGUAGCAAUCCUGUAUCA